rnacentral:lncRNA from 1 species
UUAUUUCUCAGUCGAUAUAGCAGGAUAGGUAAACAAAUAACUGAAUAUGAAUAUAAGCUGCCGGUUGGUCUGGUGGUUGGUGGACUGAACACAUGUUCUUGAGCUCCUGUGUUCGAACAUUUGGUUGCUCAUUUUUCUGUUUCGUUUUCUUUUAUUUUUCUUAUUUCUAUUUCUUAUUUAUUAUUUAUAGCUUAUUUAGUUUUUGUUUUUAAUUAAUAUUUCUCUUGAUUUCACUUCUAUUUUGUUUUUUCAUGGGCAACUCUAGCGUUAAGUGAGAAUAUGUGUGUUUGCCUUUAUGUUAUAUCUAUUUAGUUUAUCCGAUCGUAUUAAUCGAAGGCGGUCAAUGUGUGAGUACAUAUGUCUCCAUUUUUUUCUACAAAUUGCACACUUGGGAGUUUCAUGGUUGACAAAUUAUAUAUGUCCGGUAACAUAAAAUAGCAAUAUAGGAUAAAUUGCACAUUUAUUUUAUUUUCCUGUGUCCCAAAUUUCCUUUGAACGAGUUACUAUUCCCAAAACCAUAAUUUGCAUUGUGCAACUUUAGAAUUAGGUAUCGGUCAUCAUAUACCUUUUCGUCUUAGAGUGUGUGUUGGGUUGACGAUGUUUUAAUUAUUUGUUGUUUUAGGACAACCAUUUAAUUUUAUUCGAUUUUAGCUAUAAUUUUUCGAGUUGGAUAUACGUUGCAACCGUAAAUUUUUUAGUUGGUGGUUUCAACUGUAAUUUUUCGAGUUUGGAUCUUUCAACUGCAAUUUUUUGAGUUGGAUGAACGUUGCAACUGUUAUUUUUUUUAGUUUGAUGUUGCAACUAUAAUUUUUCAAAUUGGAUAUUGCAACUAUAAUUUUCCGAGUUGGAUAUUGCAACUGCAAUUUUUCGAGUUAGAUGUUGCAACUGUAAUUAAUUUUUUGAGUCGAGGCCUAUUUUUUGAACGGUAAAAUAGUUGUACCUAUAAUUUUUCUAGUACCAUGGAUUGCAUACAACCAUAAUCGGAAUAUGCAUCGUGGCUGAGUUUCGGAUUUUUAGGCCAAAUCAAAAUUGCACUGCUCGUUGCCACACUACUAGAAUCCACCAUUUUCCCUAGUGCCAAAUACUCUAGGUGAAAGCAAAAAACCCUUAGGUAAAGGCUUCACCUAGGUACUGCACUAGGGAAAGAACGCUAGGUAUAGUAUGGUGGGGAAAGAGCUCUUUACCUAGAGGCAUUUCAACAGCUCUAAGGGAACAUUUCUUUACCUAUAGGCUGGAACUCUAGGGAAAGAUAUCAGAUGGGGACUGCAUAUGCCACAUCAUCAUCUUCCCCUAGAGGACUUUACCAAUCAAAAUCUAAAAUACACUCUAGGGAACCAUAUUCGAAAUCGUAUUUACCAUAUAUGAAUUUAUAUUGACCAUAUUCAAAUUUGUAAUGACCAUAAUUCAAAUAUAUUCAAAUGGAGGCAGAAUUAAUAACCAAUAGAAAAUGCAC